ACAAUAACAAUAGGUGCCUCCGCACCUUCGGUGCUUGGCCCCUAAAAACUAACAAUAACAAUAGGUGCCUAAGCACCUUCGGUGCUUGGCCCCUAAUGAAGUAAAAAUGUAUUCAGGGAUUGCAUUUUAGUUCAGUGCAAGGUUUCAAUUUGUUUUUAAAAAGUUAAGAAAAAAUGAAUGUCAAGCCAAAGUGUUGCCAGGCAAUUUGAGUUAGAGACCCCUGGUGUGUGGGCUUAUGUCACCCAUAAUAUUUUGAAAAAGAACAUAGGUUGUAAUAAUAUUUUCUGUCUUUUUGCAGAUAUGCCGACUGCAGCAACAUCUCUCUGCUGGGGAACAUCAGCAGGACCUGUUCCAGAAGGAGCUGCCCAUGUUUGUUUCCCCACACUCCCAGCCCCCCUGCAGCAGCCUAACAGAACUCAUUCAGCUGUGUGGAGGAACUGUGUGCCGGAGUGUGCGGCAGGCCGGAAUCUGUAUUGGAGAGUAUAAUGGCAAGAAACCAGAGGGGAGCCACAGUCUUUCUGAACAGUGGAUUUUAGACUGUGUCACCCAUCUCACACUACUCCCAUAUAAAAAUUAUGUCUUGGAAUGAAGAUCCCUGGAAUUUGAUUUCCCUGUAGUUGUAGAAAUUUUGCUGUGUCAUUUUUUAUUAUUAUUUGUAAUCUGUGUAGCUUUUUAUUAAAUAUUUCUGUUGUAUUGUGUUUUUGGCAACUUAAGUAGUGCAGUGUUUUUUCACUGACUUAUUGUUUAGAUGUCUUAUGUUACUGUGUUUAUUUGUAGCAAGCCAUUAAUAAAACUGUGACUGUAAAGCAUCCUUCAAUUAAAUACAAAGGUGGUAGAGAGUAAAGAGUACAUGCUCGCCUGAACUUACCAUGCUUGAAAAACUGUAACAAGGCAUUGUUGAAAAUAAAAAUCUGACAAAGUUGA